rnacentral:rRNA from 1 species
GACAGAGGGUGCAAACGUUGUUCGGAAUUACUGGGCGUAAAGCGCGUGUAGGCGGUCGGGCAAGUCGGAUGUGAAAGCCCAGGGCUCAACCCUGGAAGUGCACUCGAUACUGCUCGGCUAGAGUCCCGGAGAGGAUGGUGGAACUCUCGGUGUAGAGGUGAAAUUCGUAGAUAUCGAGAAGAACACCGGUGGCGAAGGCGGCCAUCUGGACGGUGACUGACGCUGAGACGCGAAGGCGUGGGGAGCAAACAGG